GUGUGUGUGUGUGUGUGUACACUAAAAUUGGAAUGAUACAGACUAGAUCAGAUGGUCUCUGCACAAGGAUGACAUGCAAAAUCAUGAAGCAUUCUACAUUUUU